UGCUUCGGUAGCCUAGUCAUUAAAGCAUCCUCCUCGGAUGCGGGAAGUCGCUGGUUCGAAUCCCAGCCGAGUCAU